ACCAGGCAUGGAGAGGAGGAGUCGGUGUGCGCGUGUCACGUGGGCCGUUCCAACGCAGGGAAACCAUAAGCUGCCCGGUCAUAUGGCUACACUGCGAGGAGGCGUCGGCCUGAUGUCUAAGCGUUGAACACAGCUCAUCUGCCUAGGUUUCCUGUGUAGAGACUGGAAAGAAAUAAGAGAGGAAGAGGAAUUUGUACCAGUCUUAACAAGAACAAGACUAACAGUUCAGUUCCUAACUGAAUAUAAUAUAUCACAGAGAAUCAAAUGAUAUGAGGACAGCUGGGGUGCUGGAGUGUGAAACACCUACUAAGGAAGAUGAGUGCUCUAGCAGAGAGAGACCAGGAGUUAGGUGGUCAGUAUAAUGAAGAUGAUCUGGGAACAAGGAUCUGAGCUGGAGUAAACUGGAAGUAAACCACAGAGGCUUUACCUUCUAUAACUAAAGCUACUGAAGAACAUUGCGUUGACUUCAGUGGAAUGAAUAUCAACCAGAUUGUAUCUAGGAACUUCAACUGUCAUUUUUUACAGUGGAAAUUGUACUUUAAAAAGUGAAUGACAGCUGUUUCUUCUUCUUCUUUUCUUUUCCUUGUUCUUCUUUUAAAUGAGUUGCUUUACUUGCUUGCUUUUCAGUUACAGCUUUCCUUUCUCACUGUUGUUUCCUACUUAACAUUGUAGUACAUAUACAA